UCGAUCAAAAUUCAGUAUUUCGAAUCCAACUUUUGAGGUUAUGUUCUACACUCAUAGAUCUAUGUUUAUCAGAAAGCGGAUCAUCAUUUGGAUUUUUCAUCUAAUAGUUAUGGACAUUUCUUUGGGGCUACUCGUUGUAGAUCGGAUCCGCCAAUAGUCAACUUCAUCGGUGUUUUCCCGUUGAUCUAGAAGGAACCAGCAAACGAGCGAGAUAUCAUCAGAAAUAUCUCGUUGUCAGCUUUCCAUAUCAUCUUCCCGAUGGUAAAACCAAGGCACGGUUGGAAAGUUAUCGACGUUGCUUCUUGGCCAAGGAUAAGCUGAAGCUUUAGUGAUGCAGAUACAGUUCCGACCAGUCUCAGCGUAAAGGCCAAACGGCCGACCUAAAUGAAAGCUUUCAAUCUGGAAAUUUGUCAUAUUACUGCAGUCUUCGUUUGCGACCAGCCUGGAGGUGAAGCUAAUUUGGUUCAUCAAAUGGUGUCCGAUCGGAGUGAACUCGGUAUCUAUGAACAGAGGACAUAUAGGACUACAUUAUGACCGGACGGAUUGAAAAGUUAACGAGAGUUCCAGAGUUGCUGUUUCAGAGUCGUCAAGGUUCAUUAUGUGUUUUCUCAGGUUAUCUUCAGAACUCGUGGCAAAGGUGAGAUAGCCGAGCAGGAGUGAUUGCUUUCGGAUUGGUGCUUUGGGAUUUUUAUUCUUAUUUUCAGACUUCGGUUUUAUGCUUUUAUCGAUAUUUUCAGGGAUUUAUUUUAAUUAUGCUAUUAUUGGAUUAUGGUGUUGAGUUUGACUUUGGAAAGUAAUAAAUGGAGACU